rnacentral:rRNA from 1 species
UGCAGUCGAACGAAGUAGCAAUACUUAGUGGCAGACGGGUGAGUAACAUGUAGGUAUCUGCCCUUUGGCCUGGAAUAACACGAGGAAACUUGUGCUAAUACCGGAUAAGUCUUUACGGAGAAAGCUUUAUGCACCAUUGGAUGAGCCUGCACUUGAUUAGUUUGUUGGUGGGGUAAUGGCCUACCAAGACAAUGAUCAAUAGCUGAUUUGAGAGGAUGAUCAGCCACAUUGGGACUGAGACACGGCCCAAACUCCUACGGGAGGCAGCAGUAGGGAAUCUUGCACAAUGGAGGAAACUCUGAUGCAGCGAUGCCGCGUGAGUGAAGAAGGCCCUUGGGUUGUAAAGCUCUUUCGUCGGGGAAGAAAAUGACUGUACCCGAAUAAGAAGGUCCGGCUAACUUCGUGCCAGCAGCCGCGGUAAUACGAAGGGACCUAGCGUAGUUCGGAAUUACUGGGCUUAAAGAGUUCGUAGGUGGUUAAAAAAGUUGGUGGUGAAAGCCCAGAGCUUAACUCUGGAACUGCCAUCAAAACUUUUUAGCUAGAGUUUGAUAGAGGAAAGCAGAAUUUCUAGUGUAGAGGUGAAAUUCGUAGAUAUUAGAAAGAAUACCGAUUGCGAAGGCAGCUUUCUGGAUCAUUACUGACACUGAGGAACGAAAGCAUGGGUAGCGAAGAGGAUUAGAUACCCUCGUAGUCCAUGCCGUAAACGAUGUGUGUUA